GCUGGGUGCGGUGGUGCAUGCCUGUAAUCCCAGUGGCUCAGGAGGCUGAGGCAGGAGGAUCACUAGUUUGAGGCCAGUCUCAGCAACUUAGGGAGACCCUGCCUCAA
rnacentral:sRNA from 1 species